rnacentral:lncRNA from 10 species
CGGGCACAGUGAGUGCUGGUGGCUGGCCCGUCUCAGGACGAGCCCUGGCCAAGGAGCGGGAGGCUCAGGGGACUUGCCAGGUCAGGGCUGGAUGGGAGGUCGGGUCCAGAGGUCAUCUAGUCCCACUCCCUCCCACGAAGGGGACACUAAGGCUCAGAGAGGCACGUGGGUCACUCCGAGGAUGCUCUAGAUGCACUUUAUGAUGGGAGCUGGCAGAAACAUCUGAGCAUGGGGACCUGAGGAAGGCUACUAGGUGGGGUCGGGGGAUGAGAUUGAGGGAAGCGGGUCCGCCUGCCGGAUCUGUAUAUUCUUUCUGCACCCCUUACUUCUGGUAAGUAAGUACUUACAUCUAUCCGUUAAGUGGACACACCCUUACAGAUUGACCCUCCCAGGCUUAAACUGGAGUGGGGGGAACGUGUUUACUUUCCUUCCCUUGCCUACCCCUGUGUCUUCCCUUCUCCCACACUUGCACCCAGCCAUGCAGUGGGACAUGGAAGACCAACCCAGUUAGACUGUUAAAACCCUCUUUCUGUUGCCAAUUUUACUUUGAACCAUUUCUGAUUUACCUAUAAUUUGUGUGUGUGUUACUUUUCUCACCAGGAGUUAAACAUUCUAGAAAUUAUUUGUGUAACAUAGGUAGUCUUUUCUACUGUACUGGUCAUUUUCCCAUACAACCUUUUUGGGUUCAUAGACAUCAUAAAAACUGGAGUCUCCAGACAAAUGCAAACAAUUUUGUGAGCACUUUUAGGGUAUUAUAAUCCCUAAAGCACAAGAAUUCUUGCUCCUCUUUAUUGACUUGUUAUGUACAUUGUUAACAAGUUAAAAUCUCUUGUUACAAUGGUAUUUCUUCAGAAAUACUCUGACAUUUCCUUUUUUAAGUUCUUCCUUACAUUUUUCAAAUUACAUUAUAAUGUAUAAGUACUUAUUGAAACAGUACGGAAGUAUAUGGAGUUAGAAAGGAGAGGUCUAUGCCUUUCUUUACUUUUUAAUCCUUGUUAGAAUUCAUUUGGUGUUCAUUCUUCCUUCUUUUUUCCUUUGUUUUUU